UUCCGAACUCAGAAGUGAAACGAAACAGCGUCGAUGGUAGUGUGGGGUCUCCCCAUGUGAGAGUAGAACAUCGCCAGGC
rnacentral:rRNA from 1 species